rnacentral:rRNA from 12 species
AGACCCGAAACCCGGUGAUCUAGCCAUGGGCAGGUUGAAGGUUGGGUAACACUAACUGGAGGACCGAACCGACUAAUGUUGAAAAAUUAGCGGAUGACCUGUGGCUGGGGGUGAAAGGCCAAUCAAACCGGGAGAUAGCUGGUUCUCCCCGAAAGCUAUUUAGGUAGCGCCUCGUGAAUUCAUCUCCGGGGGUAGAGCACUGUUUCGGCUAGGGGGCCAUCCCGGCUUACCAACCCGAUGCAAACUGCGAAUACCGGAGAAUGUUAUCACGGGAGACACACGGCGGGUGCUAACGUCCGUCGUGAAGAGGGAAACAACCCAGACCGCCAGCUAAGGUCCCAAAGUCAUGGUUAAGUGGGAAACGAUGUGGGAAGGCCCAGACAGCCAGGAUGUUGGCUUAGAAGCAGCCAUCAUUUAAAGAAAGCGUAAUAGCUCACUGGUCGAGUCGGCCUGCGCGGAAGAUGUAACGGGGCUAAACCAUGCACCGAAGCUGCGGCA